AAGCCCACGUCACUGGUGCCAGGGUCUGGACCAGCAGGUCAUUUCCCAGGACGCCUCUGGAAAUGUCUCCUGAUUCCUCCAGGGAGGAGAAAGGGAAUUCUUCUAUGUACCCAAGAAGAUAUCCACGUUUUGUCUAAAUUCCAAAUAGACAGGAGAGGCUUGGAGGUGGACCCUUGAAACAUUAGUAGUCAGGACCAAGGAACUUUAAGGAGACAGUUUGAAACUUUUGCCUAUUCUGAGUAAUUAGGAGAGGGCUGGAGAGACAGAGAUUACAGCUACCAGCAUCUUAGCUGUCCUUCCUGCGUAACUAGAAAAAGCUGUUUCUCGCAGCUCUGUUUGAGGGUGUGUUGUUGGAUGUCUGAAUGUUACACUCCUGGAGGCAGCCUUCACAGGAUGCUACUCUGACUCAGAAACUAAGGGGACAAAGUUGACUCCCCAGGGAGGGAGGAGGGCAGAGGACCAGCAAUAAACAAACACAGCAACAGACCCUAAAGUCGGGAGCUGCUGUGAAGUGCUCUGCAAGGAUUAAAGUGAAUGGAAGUGUUGGGGAGCGGCCGCGGGGUCCCCCCAGUCUCUCUGAGGAGGUGGCUCCUGAGGUGAUGCCAGCAGCAGUCAGCCUCUUCCUUCUUGGCUGGCCUGAUGCCGUCUCUCGGCGCUGAUGCUGAAGGCCGCCCUGACCCCGGUGUGCUGCUGCUACGUCCGCGGUCACACGCUGACCUUCGCCCGUGGAGCCACGGGGCAGACUCGGUCGCCCACCCUCCGGGUGCCGCCUCCUGUUGCCUCCUUUCCUUGUAUCAGAACUGACUCCCUCAGGCCCGCCCCGUGCUGCCCUGCCAUCUGAGGGGUUCCCGGGCAGCGUGUUGACUACACAAGACACCAAAGAAGAAAAUCUGCCCAUCACAUGAGCGUCUAGUUUGCAAACCUUGCUGCCUACUUGUGUGACUGCGUGCUAAGUCGCUCAGUCGUGUCCGACUCUUUGGGACCCCGUGGACUGUAGCCCACCAGGCUCCUCCGUCCAUGGGAUUCUCCAGGCGAGAAAACCGGAGUGGGUUGUCAUUCCCUUCUCCAGGGGAUCUUCCUGGCCCAGGAAUUGAACCCAUGUCUCUUAUGUCUCCUGCAAUGCAGGUCUCUGCUCUGGUGCUGAAGGUAAAUAUUCUGAGAGAGCCCAGCUUUGACUGUGCUGUCUCUGGGGAUCUGUGUACCUUCAAGAUAAGUUUCAUUUUCAUCCACAAGAUGCCUAGGAACAUCAGCAAUAUGACAUCACCUCGAUCCAGCUUCCACUGAGAUGAUUCUAGUGUGGAGGACAGCAUCACUGGGUCUCUACCCGUGACACCACUUUCUCUUUGCCUCCCAUCUGCCCAUCACACUCGGAAGUUAUCUUUCGAAGCUUAAAGGCAGCUUCCGUGGUCUCCCAUGCAAGAAAGACUCCCUGCCUGCCCCCAUGGGAUGCCCACUCCUAUCACUGCACUCAUCGCCCUGGAUUUUAGUCAUUGGUCCGUGUGUCUAUCUCCCCCAGCAGAGCAAGCGGUCUUUGCUCGCCGUCUUCUUAUCGUCUUGCUACCUAUCCAGCAGCCAGCGCAUAGUAGGUGCUCAAGGAAACACACGCUUGACGCUGCACGAAGAUGCAGAAUCAUCACCGUUUCCGAGAAAAGGAGACAAAGCCCAGAGAGUUGAGACAGCCCGCGCAGGUCGGCCUGGGUCAGCCGGGCUCAGAGCCAGGCCCCAACGCCCACCGCCAGUGCCGCCUCCACCGGCGGGGUGCGGACACCCCCUCGAGAGGGCGGGCGCCCCCACGGACCACCAGGCUGGCCUGGCGCUGCGCUAGUGCCGCCACCGCGCGGCUCUCCAGGGCCCGGCUCCCCACGCCCUCCUCCCUCCAGCGAGGCUGAGCCAUCCACAUCCAGGGAGGCUCCCGGACUGGAGCUGCCCACCGCCCUCUGCUCGGAUGGCCGCGGCCGCGCUGACAGAGGUAAGGCCUCCCUGCCCUCCGGAGCUGCGGCUGAGCUGGGCCGAGAGCUCCGGGUCGGACACCCGACGGCCAGAGGCGUUGCCCUCGGAGGGAAGAUGCUACAGCACCAAAGGGUCUGCUCUUCGCAGCACGUUUUUCCGAAAAGCCUCAGGUCCUGAAAGGGAGCCACUUAGACAGUCGGAAAGAAGGAUUUUGUGGGGUUUGGUUGUUUGUUUGUUUUUGCAUUUCUCGUCUUUUUUAACCUUCUGUUUCUGACUCCGCCCGUCGGCGUCUCUCACUCACCCCUGGAGCUUUCUUUCAACACCCGUCAUUGGUGGAGUCGGGGCUGCCCUCCCCGCUCUGGCCGGUGGGAGAGCCGGCCGCCCCUUCUAAUGAGGGCCCCCAGGCCCCGCUGCCCUCAUUCUUGAUACCUGCGGAGCGGAUGAGCCGGCGAGCGGCACUUGGAUCAGAAGGGCCCGCUGCUCAGACAUCACAGCCGCGCUCAAAGAGCCAGGAAGUGGCAGAAAGAACAGACCCAGCACAGACGUGCUCGCUGUACGGGGGCGGGACCAGCUCCGCGAACAAGGUCAAUGGGGAGGGGGAAAAUUUUUUAUUUUGAAAGGAAUGGCCCUGGGAAAAAAAGAAAAACCUCAAAAAGGGGGCCGAGGACUCGGAGUAGGACCUGCCGCUUGGUUCCUGGCACGGUUUCCUUGAUAUCUUCCCAGGAAGCACGAUUUCUACCAGACUUCAAUGCGCUGGAAAAGUGUGUGCAACCGGUGAGAAGGAGGCCCGGGCGCUGUGAGUCACCGUCCUGGGCUCCGUGUGUGUUUGCUUUCAACGCCGGCUUCCUGCGGGACCACAUGAAUGGGGCCUUUCUGGUUCUUUGGCCUCUGCUGGGGCGGGGCGGGCUGGGGGCGCCCGGCCAGCCCGUUUCAAGGGAGCCGCUGAGAGCCGACCAGGCGGACCUGCGCUGCUCGUCGAAGGAAACCAGCGCGGGUUUAGCUGGUGCUCAACCCCGGGGCCUUGGGCAGUUUCUUUAAGCGCGCUGCGCCGCAGUGUCUUUACCUACAAAACGGGGAUAAAAUCAGCUCCUUUGCAGAAGUGUUCCGACAAUGAUGGCACUCAGCCUGCUCCUCAAAGGGGCUCCCGAAGUCGUUUUCACUCUUUUCCCCUGUGAUUAUUUAUCACUGAUAAUGGGAACGUUAAAAUCGAUCCUCUCAAAUCUUGGGCCUCUGAGCUGACGAACGGGCUCUUCUAAGUCAGCUUCCCAGGUUCUUCGUGGGAUAGACAGCCUGAGGGCUCAGGGGUCUCCUGGAUUCUGCGUUCUCGCUGUGCGGACUGUCUGUGGCAAAUAUUUC